UACGUAGGGGGCAAGCGUUGUCCGGAAUCAUUGGGCGUAAAGCGCGUGUAGGCGGCUCGGUAAGUCUGCUGUGAAAGUCCAGGGCUCAACCCUGGAAUGCCGGUGGAAACUGUCGGGCUAGAGUCCGGAAGAGGCGAGUGGAAUUCCUGGUGUAGCGGUGAAAUGCGCAGAUAUCAGGAGGAACACCAAUGGCGAAGGCAGCUCGCUGGGACGGUACUGACGCUGAGACGCGAAAGCGUGGGGAGAAACAGG
rnacentral:rRNA from 1 species